rnacentral:rRNA from 1 species
GAUGAACGCUGGCGGCGUGCCUAAUACAUGCAAGUCGAGCGAACGGACGAGAAGCUUGCUUCUCUGAUGUUAGCGGCGGACGGGUGAGUAACACGUGGAUAACCUACCUAUAAGACUGGGAUAACUUCGGGAAACCGGAGCUAAUACCGGAUAAUAUUUUGAACCGCAUGGUUCAAAAGUGAAAGACGGUCUUGCUGUCACUUAUAGAUGGAUCCGCGCUGCAUUAGCUAGUUGGUAAGGUAACGGCCUACCAAGGCAACGAUGCAUAGCCGACCUGAGAGGGUGAUCGGCCACACUGGAACUGAGACACGGUCCAGACUCCUACGGGAGGCAGCAGUAGGGAAUCUUCCGCAAUGGGCGAAAGCCUGGCGGAGCAACGCCGCGUGAGUGAUGAAGGUCUUCGGAUCGUAAAACUCUGUUAUUAGGGAAGAACAUAUGUGUAAGUAACUGUGCACAUCUUGACGGUACCUAAUCAGAGAGCCACGGCUAACUACGUGCCAGCAGCCGCGGUAAUACGUAGGUGGCAAGCGUUAUCUGGAAUUAUUGGGCGUAAAGCGCGCGUAGGCGGUUUUUUAAGUCUGAUGUGAAAGCCCACGGCUCAACCGUGGAGGGUCAUUGGAAACUGGAAAACUUGAGUGCAGAAGAGGAAAGUGGAAUUCCAUGUGUAGCGGUGAAAUGCGCAGAGAUAUGGAGGAACACCAGUGGCGAAGGCGACUUUCUGGUCUGUAACUGACGCUGAUGUGCGAAAGCGUGGGGAUCAAACAGGAUUAGAUACCCUGGUAGUCCACGCCGUAAACGAUGAGUGCUAAGUGUUAGGGGGUUUCCGCCCCUUAGUGCUGCAGCUAACGCAUUAAGCACUCCGCCUGGGGAGUACGACCGCAAGGUUGAAACUCAAAGGAAUUGACGGGGACCCGCACAAGCGGUGGAGCAUGUGGUUUAAUUCGAAGCAACGCGAAGAACCUUACCAAAUCUUGACAUCCUUUGACAACUCUAGAGAUAGAGCCUUCCCCUUCGGGGGACAAAGUGACAGGUGGUGCAUGGUUGUCGUCAGCUCGUGUCGUGAGAUGUUGGGUUAAGUCCCGCAACGAGCGCAACCCUUAAGCUUAGUUGCCAUCAUUAAGUUGGGCACUCUAAGUUGACUGCCGGUGACAAACCGGAGGAAGGUGGGGAUGACGUCAAAUCAUCAUGCCCCUUAUGAUUUGGGCUACACACGUGCUACAAUGGACAAUACAAAGGGCAGCGAAACCGCGAGGUCAAGCAAAUCCCAUAAAGUUGUUCUCAGUUCGGAUUGUAGUCUGCAACUCGACUACAUGAAGCUGGAAUCGCUAGUAAUCGUAGAUCAGCAUGCUACGGUGAAUACGUUCCCGGGUCU